AGCCUUGUGAUGAUCACAUAGCGAACUAUUAUUUUGCCUUUUACUAAAGAAUACUGUGUGAACGUCACAAUUAGCAGCAUAUGCCAGUUUUUGGAAGAGUCCUAUUCAUGGAGUGC
rfam:Medicago truncatula strain A17 chromosome 5, whole genome shotgun sequence.